rnacentral:tRNA from 2 species
CAGAAAAUAGUUUUAUUUAAAAUAUUAAUUUUGGAGAUUAAUGAAAUAAGUUUAUUCUUUUUUUUCUGA